AGGCGGGUAGAGGUUGUCGGAACGUACGGUGGAGCCGGUGAAAUGCCGUAGAGAUCGUACGGAACGCCGAAGGUGAAGACAGGCAACUGGGCCCCGACCCUGACGCUCAUGCACGAAAGCGUGGGGAUCAAACAGGAUUAGAUACCCUGGUAGUCCACGCCGUAAACGAUGCACACUAGAUCGAUGCACCUCUGACGGUGUGUCGGUCGGAGAGAAAUUAUUAAGUGUGCCGCCUGGGGAGUACGGUCGCAAGGCUAAAACUCAAAGGAAUUGACGGGGGCUCACACAAGCGGUGGAGCAUGUUGCUUAAUUCGAAGCAACGCGAAGAACCUUACCUGGGUUUGACAUGCACGGAUUAGCCGUUGGAAACAUCGGUGACGCCCUCGGGUGGAACGUGCACAGGUGCUGCAUGGCUGUCGUCAGCUCGUGCUGUGAAGUGUCGGGUUAAGUCCCUUAACGAGCGCAACCCUUGUCGCUAGUUGCCAGCACGUAAUGGUGGGGACUCUAGCGAGACUGCCGGUGUCAAACCGGAGGAAGGUGGGGAUGACGUCAAGUCCUCAUGGCCCUUACGCCCAGGGUGGCAAACGUGCUACAAUGGCGUGUACAGAGCGAUGCAAAGCCGCGAGGCAGAGCAAAUCGCAAAAAGCACGCCCCAGUUCGGAUUGCAGUCUGCAACUCGACUGCAUGAAGCCGGAAUCGCUAGUAAUCGCGGAUCAGCCAUGCCGCGGUGAAUAAGUUCCUGAGCCUUGUACACACCGCCCGUCAAGUCAUGGAAGCUGGUAGCGCCCGAAGUCGCCACACCUCAGUGGUGCCCACGGCGAGAUCGGUGACUGGGACUAAGUCGUAACAAGGUAGCCG
rnacentral:rRNA from 1 species